GCCUUACUAGUUUUUGCUGGUAGAGCAUGAGACUCUUAAAUCUCAUGGUCAUGGGUUCAAGCCACAUGUGGGGCA